UGCUGGGCGACCACUUCCUGACAGCUCCAGUUAAUGGGACUGCCAGCAGGCUAGACAUCCUUCGCCGGAAUGUGCAGCGCUUAGUUCUGUGCCCGGGAGGGGCUUCUCUCUCUUUUGGGAUUGGAGUGUGGCAUUGCCGCCAGAAAGCCUGCAGAAUUCCGGGUUGUGCAGCCAAGCAGGAACGGUGUACCUUUCUAGACCCAUCCUCUUGCAAUCUUGGACCCUGUUAAUCACAAUAUGGGACAGAAAACUGCAAAACAAAUUUCCGUCCUUCCAUUUUAUUCCUUCAUAUUGAUAGUAAAUCAUGAGCAGUACAACCGGCUUCUCUAUUUUAAGCAUCUUUUGAAGGAACUGGUUUUGGCUCAAUAUAUGUGCUAAAAUAGACUGUGCCAUGAAGAUCAAUAAAGAAAAGAUGUGGAGUGGGCUGCUACCUCCUGGCCUAAAUGAAAGUGACGCUGAGUCAAACUCGGAAGAUGAAGCUACGUUGGAGAACUCUGGACUUAACUUACAGGAAGAUAAAGAGGAUGAGAGCAUCAGAAAAACAGAAAUCAUAGAUUUCUCAACAGAUGAACC
rnacentral:lncRNA from 1 species